AUAUAUACAUUUUGUAACAUGUUGAAUGAAUUAAUGCCAUAUGAUUUUUACCCUCUCAAUUAAUCUCUAUUCUCUCUAAACUUCAUCUUCUCCAAUCCUCCAAUUUCACCAAAAUUAUCCAUCACCUCCAUUGAUUCACAUACAAGCUUUUGUGCUUGUUCCAACAUUUGGCAUCAAGAGCAUUGAUUCCGAUCCUAUUCCGCUACAAUGUCCGUUUCAAACGACAAGAUCCGUUUCAAACGACAAGAUCCCCACCAAUCUUCCCAUUCUUGAUUCAAAGAACUACAACAAAUGGUGCAAACAAAUGAAAGUUUUGUUUGGCUACCAAGACGUGCUCGAUGUGAUUACUACCGGUGNUUCCUACGGUGGCAAUCGAUACUUUGUCACAUUUAUUGAUGAUUUUAGUAGGAAGUUGUGGAUUUACCUCAUUAAGAGGAAAUAUGAGGUGUUUGAAGUGUUCAAACGGUUUAAGUCAAUGGUUGAGCGCCAAUGCGGUAAAAAGCUCAAAACUCUCAAAACGGACGGUGGUGGUGAAUUCACAUCCGGUGAGUUUAUGAGCUAUUGCAAUGAUGAGGGGAUAAUCCGUGAGGUGGUGCCUCCCUACACUCCACAACAAAAUGGCAUUGCGGAGAGAAAAAAUCGGACAAUCAUGAACAUGGUACGAACCAUGUUAAAAGGCAAAAAUUUAUCGAAAGAGCUUUGGGGUGAAGUGGUAUCUACAACUGCCUAUUUGUUGAAUAGGUGUCCAACAAAGAAGCUGGAAAAGAUAACUCCAGAAGAGGUAUGGUCCGGAUUCAAACCGAGUUUGAGUCACUUGCGCGUUUUCGGUUCGGUUGCGUUUCGACACAUUUCGGGACAGCUUAGAAAGAAGCUUGAUGAUAAGGGUGAGAAGUUGUUACUUGUUGGAUAUCAUCCUACCGGAGGCUACAAAUUGUUUGAUAUGAGUAGCAAGAGGAUUGUGGUAAGUCGGGACGUGAUUGUGGACGAAAUCCGAACAUUUGACAGCAAAAUUUCUGUUGUUUCUGUACAGGAAAUCGAUUUACCAAAUGAGGUAAUCGAUUUCCAGCCCGUGACAGAGCCCCCUGGUGCUGUUGGAAGUCAAAUUUCAGGCCCAGAAAUCGAUUUCCUGGGAGGAAAUUUGAAUUUCCAGCCUAUUAAUGAUCAUGGACAGCAACCAUUCGCAACAGAGGAUGGUGAAACGAUUAGACGACCAACGAGGCAGAGAGGUAUGCCUAAAAGACUCCGAGAUUGUGAGGUAUUCCGUGAUAGAGAGAUCAAUCAUGAUGGUGAUCUCAUCCAUUUCGCUUUAAUGGCCGAACCCGAACCGGUGAAUACGGAGGAGGCAUUAAGCGAUCCAAAAUGGAUGAGUGCAAUGAAGGAUGAGCUGGAAUCAAUUGAGAAAAACAAUACUUGGAUGUUGGUCGAUUUACCGAAAGGUAAAAAGGCAAUUGGUGUGAAAUGGGUCUUCAAGGUGAAAGCAAAUCCAAAAGGUGAGAUAAUCAAGCAUAAGGCUCGAUUAGUGGCUAAGGGAUUUUUGCAAAAGGAAGGCAUCGAUUUUGAUGAGGUAUUCGCACCAGUUGCAAGGCAUGAAACCAUCCGGUUAGUUGUUGCGAUUACAAAUACCAACAGCUGGCCGUUAUAUCAAAUGGACGUCAAAUCGGCAUUUUUGAACGGUCCAUUAGAUGAAGAGGUGUAUGUGGGACAACCACCGGGUUUUGUUGUUCAAGACCAAGAGGCAAGAGUCUACAAGUUGAGGAAUGCACUCUAUGGUUUAAAACAAGCUCCAAGAGCUUGGAACAAACGCAUAGAUGAUUUUCUUAACGAUAUUGGUUUCAAGAAAUGCGUGUCCGAGCAUGGGGUGUAUGUGAAAACGGGUGCUAGCGAAUGGGUGAUCAUUCUUUGUCUAUAUGUGGACGGUUUGUUGAUUACCGGAAGUUGUGAAUCAUACAUUUCAAAGUUCAAGCAAGAGCUUAUGAGGGAAUUUGAAAUGAGUGACCUUGGUGCUAUGACAUACUUCUUAGGCAUAGAGUUCCAAAAGAUAAAGUUGGGGCUGCUCAUGCAUCAAAGAAGGUAUGCAAUGGAGAUCUUGAAGAGGUGUGAUAUGGAGCAUUGCAAUGCUACCAUAACUCCAUCCGAGGCACGGUUAGAACUAUCCAAGAGUGAGGAAGAGCAAGAUGUGGAUCCAACUCAAUACCGGAGAUUGGUUGGAUCAUUGCGUUACUUGUGCAAUACGCGGCCUGAUUUGGCGUUUAGUGUUGGUAUUGCUAGUAGGUUCAUGGAAAAGCCAAAGGUAUCACACUUGGCAGCGGUUAAGAGGAUCCUUCGUUAUGUGAAAGGUACUCUUGGCUGUGGAAUUUUAUUUCCGGCAAGUGACACGGGCAGAAGUUGCAAUUUACUUGGAUACACCGACUCCAAUUGGUGCGGAGAUAAAGACGAUCGAAAAUCAACGGCGGGGUUAUCUAGUUCGGUCGUGCAGCAAUCUCUUGGUGUUCUGGAAGGAGAAGGUGGUUGGCUCUCUCUUCUUGGGGUAAGUAUAUUGCAGCUCCGAUGUGUGCAUGCAAGCUGUGUGGGCUUGUGAAUUCUGUUGCGUGAGCUGGAACAGCUGACGGAGAGAGGAGUUUUGUGUGUUGUGGACAACGUUUCGCCAUCAACCUUGCUAAGAAUCCCAUAGCACAUGGGAGAACGCAACACAUUGAGAUGAGGUUCCAUUACUCUGCGCGAUUUGGUGAGUUUCUGGACAGUUACGUUACUCCUGCAGAGGAAGAACCAAGUGGCGGACUUGUUGACGAAAUCGGUUACAAAACGAUGUUUCAAGCGACUCGGGUGAAGUUGGGAUGAAGACAUCGAGCAUUUUGACUAGGUGGUCGUGUUGGAUGUUAUAAAGUCAAAUCAAAUGAACUAUGAUCAGAAGCAUGUUUGGAGAAUAGCUAUUUGAGAAGCUAUUUGGAAAAACUGUCAGAAUGCUGCAGGAAAACCAGAAAAAUACUUUUGGUUUUUAGGCUGUUUUUGUUUAGCUUUGUUUGUUACUUUGUUUAUGUUAGUAGGCCUAUAUAUAUACAUUUGUAACAUGUUGAAUGAUUAUGAUAAUCCAUUGAUUUUUACCCUCUCAAUUAAUCUCUAUUCUCUCUAAACUUCAUCUUCCCCAAUCCUCCAAUUUCACCAAAAUUAUCCAUCACCUCCAUUGAUUCACAUACAAGCUUUUGUGCUUGUUCCAACAUCAAUGACACUCUAAAAUACAAGUUCUGUAAGCAUUUAUAACUCAUGUAUAUGUUAAGGUCUAUAGGUCAAAAAUAGAGUUGUACAUAUAAUAAUAUUAAUAUAAAGAAUCAAUUUAUUCACGUCAUUUUAAAUAUUUUUAAUAGAAACAGAUAUUCU
rnacentral:lncRNA from 1 species